AUACGGAGGGCGCAAGCGUUGUUCGGAAUCAUUGGGCGUAAAGCGCGUGUAGGCGGCUUGGAAAGUCGGGUGUGAAAGCCCGGGGCUCAACCCCGGAAUUGCACUCGAAACUGGCAGGCUAGAGACCGGGAGAGGAGAGUGGAAUUCCCAGUGUAGAGGUGAAAUUCGUAGAUAUUGGGAGGAAUACCAGUGGCGAAGGCGGCCUUCUGGACGGUGACUGACGCUCAGACGCGAAAGCGUGGGUAGCAAACAGGAUUAGAAACCCCAGUAGUCC
rnacentral:rRNA from 1 species